UACAGGAAGGACCGCAUAUAUCUAACCUGUUUUUUUUUUUUUUUUUUUUUUUUACGUGGGCGUUACAGGCUGCCUUAAGUGAUAGCUGUUAUUUUGUUAAAAACACCCACAUGCAUUGCCACUGCUGAGCCCCCAUCGACAAGUGAAAGUAAAGCAUACUCACCAGAUAAUUUGCAUUGAAUGCAAUGCAAAACUUUGUUUCCCACCCACAUUUCCGCUGCUGAGUCUCCUUUGGCUGUUAAAUCCACUCGAAUCCAGAUCGCAUAUAAAGACUGAGUAGACUUGUAAUGACUGACAAGUGAAAGUGAAGUUGAGGUCACAACAAUGACAACAACGAAUCCUCCACGUUACCUUCCAUUUCAGGACAGCAUGUAUGAUGGGAAUGGGGAUCAACAAUCAAUGGUUCAGCACACCACUGUGAUCAUCAGCACUGAGCCACCAAAAGACCAUAUUAUCUGGUCCCUCCUCUGCUUUUUCUACUCAAACCCUUGUUGUCUUGGACUUGCAGC